AAACCAUGUUGUGGGCAUGAAUUGACAAGAUCCUUGAACCACUCCCAACAUUGAAAGAAUAUUUCAUCUUCCUUUUGGGCAAAGUUCAUGAUUAAUUUUCUAACGGU